rnacentral:lncRNA from 1 species
AAAAGACCCUGAUGCUGGGAAAGAUUGAGGGCAGGAGGAGAAGGAGACGACAGAGGAUGAGAUGGCUGGAUGGCAUCAUCGACUCAAAGGACAUGGGUCUGGGUGGACUCCUGGAGUUGGUGAUGGACUGGGAGGCCUGGCGUGCUGCAGUUCAUGGGGUUGCACAGAGUUGGACACGACUGAGCGACUGAACUGAACUGAUGGGCAGACGUACACGGUCUUAAAUUAAUGCAUGAAAGUUUAACCUAAUUUUUAUUCUUAUUGUCUCAGCCAAAGUUAUUGACAUAAGAAUUCUGAGACUGAGAUAGUAGACUAAACAAUACUUAUUAACUACCAGCUUGCUUUGCAUUGAAACAGUGUGUUUAAAUCCUGAUUAGAAGUCUAAGAUUCAGUAAUAACAUAAUCCUCAGACACCGCAAUGCAGACUGGAUUUUCAGCCUGUUGUGCUGUGAAAGUUGAGUGUCAUUUCUAAUGUUCUCCCGAGUUCUUCAGGGCUCAGUAAUCUGAAAAAACAGAAGCAAGAUUACAACAUGAACUGUGUAAAUUCAGAGAUACUUAAAGUAUUCUGUCCAGAGUAUUCUCUACCAGUAAUUUCUAUUCUAAAAAUUCAGAAUUCAAAAAUGUAAAUUUUAUUGCAUGCUCUGUAUCUGAAUUCAUAGUUGAAAAAAAAUGACUUAGUGAUGUCUAUCCAUGUUGCAAUUAAAAUGCUGUGACUGGGGAUUGUCAUUAAACCCAGUUUGCAAGUAGAGCCUAGGAUAUAAUGUGACAAAUUAGGAUAUGAUCACAGAACCAGCAUACAGUAGAUAGAAAAAAAAAAAAAAAA